GAUUUCUGGCUUGAAACAUUUAGCCGGCCACGGUUUCGUGUGUUAGUGCUUGAUGUUCUGGCCAUCCUUCCAAUUGCUAUUGGCCUUUCUUCACUGAUUGGUCAGUAGUAUUGGAUCUUUUACUUUGAAAAAAUUAGAGUGUUUCAAGCAGGCUUUAUGCUAUGAAUACAUUAGCAUGGAAUAAUAAUUUAGGACUUCGGUUCUAUUUUGUUGGUUUCUAGGACUGAAGUAAUGAUUGAUAGGGAUAGUUGGGGGUGCUAGUAUUCAGUGGCCAGAGGUGAAAUUCUCGGAUUCACUGAAGACUAACUUAUGCGAAAGCAUU
rnacentral:rRNA from 1 species